UCCAGACUCCUACGGGAGGCAGCAGUGGGGGAUAUUGCACAAUGGGGGGAACCCUGAUGCAGCGACGCCGCGUGGGUGAAGGAGCGUUUCGGCGCGUAAAGCCCUAUCGGCAGGGAAGAAGGAGGACGGUACCUGACUAAGAAGCCCCGGCUAACUACGUGCCAGCAGCCGCGGUAAUACGUAGGGGGCAAGCGUUAUCCGGAUUUACUGGGUGUAAAGGGGGCGCAGACGGCAGCGCAAGCCAGGAGUGAAAGCCCGGGGCCCAACCCCGGGACUGCUCUUGGAACUGCGCGGCUGGAGUGCAGGAGGGGCAGGCGGAAUUCCUGGUGUAGCGGUGAAAUGCGUAGAUAUCAGGAGGAACACCGGUGGCGAAGGCGGCCUGCUGGACUGCGACUGACGUUGAGGCCCGAAAGCGUGGGGAGCAAACAGGAUUAGAUACCCUCGUACU
rnacentral:rRNA from 1 species